ACAGCAGUAGCCGCGGGAAUACAGAGGAUGCAAGCGUUAUCCGGAAUGAUUGGGCGUAAAGCGUCUGUAGGUGGCUUUUCAAGUCCGCCGUCAAAUCCCAGGGCUCAACCCUGGACAGGCGGUGGAAACUACCAAGCUGGAGUACGGUAGGGGCAGAGGGAAUUUCCGGUGGAGCGGUGAGAUGCGUUGAGAUCGGAAAGAACACUAACGGCGAAAGCACUCUGCUGGGCCGACACUGACACUGAGAGACGAAAGCUAGGGGAGCAAAUGGGAUUAGAUACCCCUGUAGUCCCUGUCUCUUAUAC
rnacentral:rRNA from 1 species